CGAAACCGCAGCCAAGGGAACGGACUUGGCCUAGUCAGCGGGGAAAGAAGACCCUGUUGAGCUUUACUCUAAUCCGACUGUGUGAAAAGACAUGGAAGAUGUAGAAUAGGUGGGAGCUCCGGCGCCAGUGAAAUACCACUGCUUUCAUCGUCUUCUUACUUAUAUAGUUAAACGGAAGCGGGCAGCAAUGCCCAUCUUCUUGCCUUAAGCGUGCCUUUGGGCGCGUGAUCCGGGUUAUAGACACUGUCAGGUGGGGAGUUUGGCUGGGGCGGCACAUCUGUAAAAUAAUAACGCAGGUGUCCCAAGGCGAGCUCAGAGAGAACAGAAAUCUCUCGUAGAACAAAAGGGUAAAAGCUCGCUUGAUUUUGAUUUUCAGUGUGAAUACAAACCGCGAAAGCGUGGCCUAUCGAUCCUUUAGUUGCCCGGAGUCUGGGCCUAGAGGUGUCAGAAAAGUUACCACAGGGAUAACUGGCUUGUGGCUGCCAAGCGU
rnacentral:rRNA from 1 species